GCAUCCCUUCACCUGGACUGUGAGCCCCUCUGAGUCUCCUGAGGACAGGGCAUGGCACAGAGCCAGUGUUUGUUGAGACCUCACAUGGCCGGAUGCAACUGGGCAAAAGCCUUUUCCACUCAACAUCAUCAUCAUCACGGCAACUGACAGUCAUUAAGAGCCAAGUAUGGGUCAGGCCCCAUGUUGAGCCCAAUAAGGAUGAGAUUCAUCUAUGGCACUGCUUGGUCUGGAGGUCAAGUUCAUCCCUGCUCACUGUCCAAGUCUAAAAUAAGGAGAACCACAAAGAAAGCGGGGCUAUGGAUCUGCUCUACUGCAGCCCAGUUUGGGACGGAAGCUCUGGCCAUAGGUUCUGCCCUUGUAAACACCAUGAGACUGUUGGGGGGUGAAAUCUGGUGCCAGGACAAACAGGGCCAGGCUAGACAAAGGAAGGACUUCAGGACAUGUGGACACCAGCUCUCACCACCUACGGAAUAUAACCAAGCCCGAGAGGCAGUUCCAACCUCAACACAAAUAGCGGCACAAGAGAAAAUAAAGCUCUGUUCACAGAAUCACAGACUUCGUUGCUGGAAGGGGUUUCUCUGUCCUCUAAGCCAUCCUUCACGUCAUUGCUAGUUGUUGCUCUAGAAUAUGAAUUGGAUCAGGUCAUACUGUCGCAUCCCCAAACCUCUCUGACACCAUGUCAUCUCCUGUGGGGUGACAAAGCCAGGGCACAGGCAUAGCAGCACAUAACUCCUAUCAUAUCAGACAUCACUCCUAUCAUAUCAGACAUCAUUAAGCAAUUGCCACGUUUUCUGAUGAGCCUGGCUGCAGCCGCACAAUCGAACUCAGCAAAGCCUUGCAGGCAGCCAUUGCCAAAAAACUACCACUCUCAGGAUGACAACUGCUUGCCCCCCACUGAACAGAGACAGCCAGAUCUCCUCAGCCUGUCCCUUUGCUGUCUUUUUCCACCCAUAUUUUCCAUCACUACUUCUAUGCUCCAGCUUCCUUCAACUGCUUGCCAUUCCUAAACAGACCUGCCUUUUUCUCAGUCUCUGAGCCUCUGUCCGUGUCGUGAUUCAGCCUGGAAUGCCCUCUAUGCAGAGUUCCUCGGUAUCUGUUCUCCCACCUCCCAUAACAGUAAAGUUGUAUCUGGGCAUACAGCCGCCCAGCAAAAAACACUACCUGGCCUGCCUUGGACCUGGG